rnacentral:rRNA from 1 species
UACGUAGGGCGCAAGCGUUGUCCGGAAUUAUUGGGCGUAAAGAGCUCGUAGGCGGCCUGUUGCGUCCGUUGUGAAAUCCCGGGGCUCAACCCCGGGCCUGCAGUGGAUACGGGCUGGCUAGAGGCAGGCAGGGGAGAACGGAAUUCCUGGUGUAGCGGUGAAAUGCGCAGAUAUCAGGAGGAACACCGGUGGCGAAGGCGGUUCUCUGGGCCUGUACUGACGCUGAGGAGCGAAAGCGUGGGGAGCGAACAGG